UACGUAGGGGGCAAGCGUUGUCCGGAAUCAUUGGGCGUAAAGAGCGUGUAGGCGGCCAGAUAAGUCCGCUGUGAAAACUCGAGGCUCAACUUCGAGCUGUCGGUGGAAACUAUUUGGCUAGAGUCCGGAAGAGGAGAGUGGAAUUCCUGGUGUAGCAGUGAAAUGCGCAGAUAUCAGGAAGAACACCCGUGGCGAAGGCGGCUCUCUGGUACGGAACUGACGCUGAGACGCGAAAGCGUGGGGAGCGAACAGG
rnacentral:rRNA from 1 species